UUAAAAAAAAAAAGCCCCUCAAAUCAAAUGUUGUGCAGUAAUAGAUGAACUCAAGGGAACCAAUUUUAAGCUAACACUUCUACAGUACAUUUUAAUUUUUAAAAGGAACUUUUUGGCUCUUGUUACAUAUAUGAGGAACAAAAGGCCUUGUCACAGAUUGUGGCAAGGCACCGAUUAUCCCUUGAUACGUUUUGUCCUGUAUUGUCACACAGACAUUUUAAUCUCACAUGCAAGUCACCUUGCCAUUUUACUCAUAAGUGAAAACUAAAAGACACAAAGAUGUGAAUUAAACUCACCUGCAAACUAAGAGCUUGGCAAAAUAAUUAAAGGGUGAAAAGGCUAUCACACUAAUCCAUUUAUUUUUUUGCCUUGAACAUUUACUACUGAAAUUGAAUAAGCUCCUGCCAGCACGGGCAGUUACAGCUGCCACACUUUUGCAAAUUUUGUAUUAAAAUCCAUUUCCAAAGCACAGGCUAUGUGGGCUACCGGCUGCACGUGCCCGAGGUGCUAAUCAAAUGAACCCUUAACUACUGCCACUUCUGGUCAGUAUCCAAUUAGACCUCUUACCCUCCAUUAGCCGAGGGCUAUGGCUCAACUUGGUUGUGGAGCGGUUUCCCAAAGCCACAGGGUGUCACAAUGGUGACUCCACACGCUGUGAAUAAAUUCAGGGGCAGGGGUGCUUUCUUCCGGGACCCUAGACCCCCGCUUCCCGCCUGGAAUGAGAAACUGCGUGGGUCGCGGGCUGCAAAGAAAACGCCAAAGCCACGUAGCAGUGCUGACACGCGCGGAGGGAAACGCGAGGGCCCGCGUCCCUGCAGGAGGCCAAGGCCGGCAGCCCGGCCCAGACAGCUAAGACCACGCCGGGAACGCGCGGAGGGGGCGUGGCCGGCGCGCCGUCACGUGGUGGGCGGGCCCGUUCCUUCCCUGAAGGGGCGGAGCCUGCAGGCCACCACGUGGUGGGCGGCGCCUCAGCCUGAAUUUCCAGGGAGCCGCCAGCGUGGCCAGGUCCCGCAGGGCUGAAUGGGAGAGGUCUGGGCACAUGAUUACUGCUGGGAAAACGGCAGGUGUGACUCAUGAGAGAUCAAAGCUCACCUCAGGAGAACCUCCAGGGGGAAGAAACAGCCAACGGAACCCCCGGGGCCAGGCAGGAAAAGCAAGUAAACAAGUGACUGACGCACUUUGUAGACAGCCUCUGCUGGGCCAGUGUGAGCAGGGGAAGUCGAGGAAGCUGGCCAGGAUGGGGGCGGCCCCCGGUGGGCUCGGCUAACAGCUCAUUGUUCCUCAGCGUUCCCAGGGAAUAAAGUUGGCUUCCAGCAUGACAAGCGUGCCAGGAGGACAGGCUAUUUGUGUUGAUAAACACGAAAGGAGGGGAAGUGACUAGCUGGGGGCAGGGUGGGUUUGAGUGGAAUGUGCCUUUUUCUGGGAAUCUGUAUACUAGGCUCCUAUGGGACGGGAGAGGAAGAGGGAGAAGGAGGAGGCAACGUUGGAUACUGUUAAACACAGGGGACCUGGAGGUGGGCAGACCUGGGUUCUAAUCCUGGGGCCUCUAUUUCCUAACUUUGAAACUUGGCCCUGUUUUUUUAAAUUUCUCUGGGCCUUGGCUUUGUUAUCAAUGAAAUGGGAACGGUAAUUCCUCACCCAUAAGGUUGCCUGGAAAGCUUAAUGAGAUAAUGCCCCUUAAGUGUCUGACACAUAGAAAGUUCUUUAAAAAACGAUUACUCUUGUUGUGAGGACGCUGCUGUAUCAGUGAGGGGGGAGGGGGGCGAGGAGAGGAAGCGGUGCACUAUGGGAAGCAGCACGGCACUGUCAGGCUCCUGGGUUUUGGUCAAGGUUCUGGCACAACGCCAUGCCACCGUGUGAUCCCCAGCAAGUCACUCCCCAUCACGGGAGCUAGUUGUGCCUCCCGGGAAUGAGGGUGCUGAACACCAGCGACCCCGGGGCUCAUUCUCCUGCUGAGAUCCAGGGUUCGAAAGAGCUGUAGCCGGAGUGUUAAAAACAAAAAUAACCCCUCGGCAGCCAAGCCAGGUUUGUUCCCAUCACGGUGUCCUCCGCGGGAACCUGACUCCUCCCGUCACGGUCCUGCCACUUCUCAGCACGGGCUCAGAUUCAUUGCUUUGGGAUUAUGUGCAGAGCCCGUUCUGGGAGCCAAAUUAGAAAAUCAUCUCGUUGCUUUAUAGACACAAAUUUCUUUCUCUCUGUUUAUUUAUUUAUUUAGUUUUGGACCAAGAAAAGCUCUCGUUCCCUUAAGGCAAAUUAGAUUGCAGUUCCAGUUUUGCCACUGACUAGUGGAGGAUCGUGACGUCGUCUCUUUUGUCCUUGGCUUGUCCCCCUGGAACCCGGGGACAGCGAUACCCGCCGUGUGGCAUGCUGUGUCAUGCAUGCAAGAGGCUCGGCUCGGGUGGGCAGUGAAACACACCCAGAUGUGCGCGCAGGUACACGCGUACAGACGCCUUCCUCCCCUCGCUCCGUCCCCGCCCUCAUCGCCGUCCCCAUUUUACCGCUUCACCCACGGAAUAAAUUCACAGCCCACCAAGCUAUCAGGCGCCAAAUGGUUUUCAUUAAUUUCUAAAAAUCAGGUAUACUUUUGGAGGAAAAGAUUUGCUACCAUGAAGCAUAUUCGAAGAGAUGUGCUCAGACUCUAAAGACGUCUGUUUACACCAAGUGUGUGUGUGUGUGUGUGUGUGUGUGUGUGUGUGUGUGUGAACGUGCACAUGUGGUAUUUAGUGAAACCCUUUACCCCUGUGAGACCAGCCAGUAGAUCCAAAGCCGACGCCGUGAGGCAGAGCCAGGACCUGGCUUCGGAAAGUGGGGCUCAGGGUGCUACCAAGAGCCAGGGAAAUAUUGAGAGUGCCAGCCAGCCCCGGCCUCCAGGCUCAGAGAAACCUACCUUGGCUGGGUGACCUCUGCCAAUCCCAUCAUCUUUUGAAGUCUCAGUUUAUUCAUCAGGAAAAUGGGGAUAAUGACAUAAGCCUCAUCAAGUUGCUGUGAGGAUUGUAAGUGGUGAUUCCAUAAACAAGCAGGCACCCGUGGGUGGGACU